CCUCACGUUCAGGGGUUGUUGUUGUGGCUCAAGCACUUUGACGGGUAGAUGGCACUCAGGUCAGUACCCCUAAAUGGGGAGGCUCUGGCCAGUCACUGCCUUGGCUCUGGGAGCCUGGACUAUAUUUGGAACUCUUAGGGGCCCUGGGUCAUUGUGAAGUCUCCAGCGAGAAAUGAAGAUGGCAUAUGGAAAGGCGAUUCUUAUACUCAGAAGGAAAAGUUCCCAUGGAAGCCAUGGAUUCAUUCAUGACAAAGAUCCCAGCCAUGUUGCCCUCAGUAGCCCUCCCUCCUUGGACUGUGACAGUUUCUCCAUCUUCUUUUGUUUACAUGACCUUGAUCGCUUUGAGGAGUACAGGCCAAGUGUUUCUGAGAGUCAGGGCAGCUCUGCUCUUCCCUUCCUCACCCAGCUCUGUGCUUCGAUGAUGAUCCGGUCUAAGGGCAAAAUGCUGAAUGGCAGAAGGCUGAAGAAAAGCUAAAAGCUCCGUCCUAUUGAGAAGUUCAUCACAGGGAAGACUCCACUGAAGUAAUCAGAUGCCUUUCCUGCUGCCCUGAGUCUUUAACUGUCCAAAGGGAGUCCUGAACCCAAAGCUGUUUCAGCUGCAUGCGAUUGUUAGGAUCAUUCACUCAUACCUCUUCGUUUAGGAUAGAGAACAAUCAGGCAAAGAAAGGGGAGGACUAACCCAAGGUCAGAUAAUUAGCUAAGGGCAUCAGAACCCACAGUUCAGGGUUGUUAGUACCACAUCAAGCUCCCUUGCAAAUUAGCUUCAUAAAUUCUAAGCCCACAGGCUCAGGGCUCAUCUGAAAGAGAUGGACCAGAGAGGAGGAGAUGGAGAAAAAAGUCUCCUACCACACACUGGAACCACUUUUACAGAAGUGCCUGUUGUCUCCCCUGCACCCCUGCACUCCCAACCCCAACAAUGCCAGGCAGCAAGCUGUUGCAGAAAGGAAGCAGGCUGCUGCCCCUGCAGUGUUCAGGCCUCCUCCUGGCAGGGCUCCCUCUACCUGAAUCCAUCUCAGGGAAAUGGUCAUCUCUGACUAUGCUGCACAGAGCCUGCAAAGCUAUGUUAAUAAUCUCUCUGGGCCUUAAACUGAAUAACCAAGAUUUCGCACAUGUACCAUUCACUUCCCACUUAAUAUGCACACUCAAUUUACACAGGAAGUAUGCCUAAGGCUCUUUCAAUGACUGUAUGUGACUACACAUAGGGUUUUUCUUUUAUAACAGAUUGGCAAAUGCCUGAGGUGGUAUGAGUGUGAUGUUGCUGGAAAACCUUAGUUGAAAUUCCUAGACUAUAUGAAAUCCUUUUUAAAUCUCCUUAUUCUGAAAACAUAUUUUUUUAAAAAAAAUUUAGACCACUCAUGGGAUUUAAAGUAAAAAGUACAAAUAUACUGUAUUUCGUGACUAUAAUCAAACUGGAGACAUUAUGCAAACAUAGAGCUCUUAUAUUUUCAUUCUUCUACUUUAGGUCGCAAUUGUCUAUCUCUGCAUUAUGUGCAAACCAAAAUGAGAACUGCAGGAAUAAAACACAUGGUUGUGUCCACGUUCUGAAUGUUCAAGUAUUAGCAGAAUU
rnacentral:lncRNA from 1 species